AGCAGCAUGGCGCAGUGGUAGCGCGCGGGGCCCAUAUCAUCAUAUGCUACCCCGAGGUCACUUGAUCGAAACAAGUUGCUGCUA